AAGAGCCUGCCGUAUUCGCCAGGAUGGAUUAUGUAUUGAGCCAACACCUACGAAAAGGGAGCCCGGGCUCCUCAUGUGGAAUGUAGGCCUACUAAAGGUAGGGAACAAGAAGCAUGGGGGAGGGCACCCACCUGCUGAGAGCAGGUUCAAUCAUUCCAUCCAGCGAUAUGGUGGGUUUUUG
rfam:Caloramator australicus RC3, WGS project CAKP01000000 data, contig: 7